GUAUGAGAUUUUUUCACACCAAAGAGUUAUUUCUCUUUUCUAUCUCACAUCCAAAUCUAAUUUGAUUUUGAUAAAAGAAAGGUUCUGAAAUUAAAUUUUAAAAUAUUUCUUAUCAAGAGAAUCUGUUCUCAUCCAGAUCAACCUCUCUAUGCUAAUAAAUUUAUUUCUCCUUAUAUGUGUGAUAUUUUGAGAAGAUUUUUUAUGAGAGAUUAGUUAGAGGACUUAUUUACUAUAAAAAAAAUAUGAUAAGGAGUGUCCCAUAUUUUUUUGGUAUAUUUUGGGAUGUAGAAUUAUGAAAGGAAGUAGAAUCUUGUAAGAGUCCA
rnacentral:lncRNA from 1 species